rnacentral:rRNA from 1 species
CCUACGGGUGGCAGCAGUGAGGAAUAUUGGUCAAUGGGCGGGAGCCUGAACCAGCCAAGUCGCGUGAGGGACGACGGUCCUAUGGAUUGUAAACCUCUUUUGUCGGGGAACAAAUGCGCCCACGUGUGUGCGGAUGAGUGUACCCGUAGAAACAGCAUCGGCUAACUCCGUGCCAGCAGCCGCGGUAAUACGGAGGAUGCGAGCGUUAUCCGGAUUUAUUGGGUUUAAAGGGUGGGUAGGCGGACAGUCAAGCCAGCGGUAAAAAUGCGGUGCUCAACGCCGUACAGCCGUUGAAACUGGCAGUCGUGAGUGGGCGAGAAGCAAGCGGAAUGCGUGGUGUAGCGGUGAAAUGCAUAGA